rnacentral:rRNA from 1 species
CCUACGGGGGGCAGCAGUAGGGAAUAUUGCUCAAUGGGGGAAACCCUGAAGCAGCAACGCCGCGUGGAGGAUGAAGUUUUUCGGAUUGUAAACUCCUUUUGUUAGAGAAGAUAAUGACGGUAUCUAACGAAUAAGCACCGGCUAACUACGUGCCAGCAGCCGCGGUAAUACGGAGGGUGCAAGCGUUACUCGGAUUCACUGGGCGUAAAGAGCGCGUAGGCGGGAUAGCAAGUCAGAUGUGAAAUCCUAUGGCUUAACCAUAGAACUGCAUUUGAAACUGUUAUUCUAGAGUAUGGGAGAGGUAGGUGGAAUUCUUGGUGUAGGGGUAAAAUGCGUAGAGAUCAAGAGGAAUACUCGUUGCGAAGGCGACCUGCUAGAACAUAACUGACGCUGAUGCGCGAAAGCGUGGGGAGCAAACAGGAUUAGAUACCCGGGUAGUC